ensembl:lncRNA
UUUCGUUAUGCACGCCUCAGUGAUCAGUCACAAAUCACCACACCUUACGAACAUCUAACACAAUAACCUAUUUUUUUUCUUGCCAGUCUGUUAAUUUUAGGAUCGAAGGACAAAUCUCAGAGAGCUCUGCAAGAAGAAUUACACCGUUCGAUGCGCUUGGUUAUGAAUUUAAACAACGAGAAAGGGUAUGAUGGCGGAAGGAAAACUUUCCUCACCAUAUUCUGUAUCUGGUGGAUGGUUUAUGGAUGUACGACAGGACUUGGAAAAUCUACAGAAUCAGGUCGAAGGACAUCAGACUAUACCACACCAGUUACUACAGAAACCGGGGCUUCUACAGCAAAAGAUGUGCAAUCAACAAUAAAAAUUCAAGAUUUAACAUCAACACCAAUUUCUGAAAUCACAAAAAAAAAGGAUCCAAAAGACACAAAAACAGCACAAUCAAAAACAAUUUAUACAACUACAACUAUAAUGGAAACAACAACUUUGGAUACAAAAAGCAUGUUUUCAGCAUCCUCAACUAUAGCACCAAAAUUGAUGACUGAUACAGACACCACCUCUCCAUCAUAUUCAACUGUAGUACCAACAUCAACAACAACAGAUGAAGCAACAAUAACUCUGUUUGACAGUACAACAACUACAGAUGAAACGAUAGAUUUGGCUUCCACAACCAACCCUCCAACAUCUUCAAUCAUAGCACCAACAUCAAUUACAACUGAUGCACAAACCACAACUCUGUCUGACACUAAAACAGCUGCUGAUGAAACAAAAAAUAUGGCUUCCACAACAACUCCUCCAUCAUCCUCAAAUACAGCAGCAACUUCAACAACUGAUGCAGUAACCACAAUAAUUGACACCACUAUAACUAUUGAUAGAAAAACAAAUUUGGCUUCUACAACCACCAUUCCAAUGUCAACAACAGAUGCAUCAACCACAACUAUGCCUGACACCAUAACAACUAUUUAUUCAACAACAAAGCUGGCUUACACAACCCCCCCCCCAACAUCCUCAACUAUAGAACCAGCAUCAAUAACUGAUGCAUCAACCACAACGCUGUCUGACGCCACAAUAACUACUGAUGCAACAAGUUUGGCUUCCACAACCACCCCUCCAAAAUCCUCAACUAUAGUGUCAAAAAUAGAGGGAGCAACCACAACUACAGCUGACUCCACAACAACUAUUGAUGCAACUACAACUUUUGCUACAACAACCGAUGCAUCAACAGCAACUCUGGCUGACACCACAACAACAACUGAUGCAACAACAAUUUUCUCUUCCACAACCACACCUCUGACAUCGACCACUAUGGCACCAGCAUCAAUAUCUGAUGCAGCAACCACAACUAUGCCUGACACCAAAACAACAAUUGAUACAACAACAUCUUUGGCAACCACCUUUCCAACAUCCUCAAUGGUUAAAACAACGUCAAGAACAUCUGAUGCAGCAACCACAAGUAUUCCUGACACCACAACAAUGAUAGAUGCAACAACAACUUUGGCUUCCACAAUCAUUCCUGCAACAUCCUCAACUGUAGUGCCAGUUUCAACAACAACUCAUGCAUCAACAACAACUAUGUCUGACACCACAACAACAAUUGAUACAACAACAAUUGAUACAAUAACAUCUUUGGCUUCCACAACCACCUUUUCAACAUCCUCAAUGGUUAAACCAACGUCAACAUCAUCUAAUGCAGCAACCACAAGUAUUCCUGAUACCACAACAAUGAUAGAUGCAACAACAACUUUGGCUUCCACAAUCAUUCCUACAACAUCCUCAACUGUAGCGCCAGUAUCAACAACAAUUCAUGCAUCAACAACAACUAUGUCUGACACCACAACAACAAUUGAUACAACAACAGUUGAUACAAUAAUAUCUUUGGCUUCCACAACCACCUUUUCAACAUCCUCAACGGUUGAACCAUCGUCAACAACAUCUGAUGCAGCAACCACAAGUAUUCCUGACACCACAACAACAAUUGAUACAACAACAUCUUUGGCUUCCACAACCACCUUUUCAACAUCCUCAACGGUUGAACCAACGUCAACAACAACUUUGGCUUCUACAUUCACUCCUACAACAUCCUCAACUGUAGUGCCAGUUUCAACAAUAACUCAUGCAUCAACAACAACUCUGUCUGACACCACAACAACAACAACUCAUGCAACAACAGUUUUGGCGUCCACAACCACACCUCUGACAUCGCCCACUAUAGCACCAGCUUCAACAUCUGCUGCAGCAACCACAAUUAUGCCUGACACCACAACAACAAUUGAUACAACAACAACUUUGGCUUCCACAACCACCUUUCCAACAUCCUCAACGUUUGAACCAACGUCAACAACAUCUGAUGUCGCAACCACAACUCUGUCUGACACCACAACAACAACAACUAAUGCAACAACAGUUUUGGCUUCCACAACCGCACAUCUGACAUCGACCACUAUAGCACCAGCAUCAACAUCUGAUGCAGCAACCACAACUAUGCCUGACAUCACAAUAACAACAACCAGCCCUCCAAAAUCCUCAACAAUAGCGUCAAAAAUGGAGGCAGCAACCACAACUAUACCUGACUCCACAACAACUAAUGAUGCAACUACAACUUUUGCUACAACAACCGAUGCGUCAACAGCAACUCUGUCUGACACCACAACAACAACUGAUGCAACAACAAUUUUGGCUUCCACAACCACACCUCUGACAUUGACAACUAUAACACCAGCAUCAACAUCUGAUGCAGCAACCACAACUAUGCCUGACACCACAACAACAAUUGAUACAACAACAUCUUUGGCAACCACCUUUCCAACAUCCUCAAUGGUUGAACCAACUUCAACAACAUCUGAUGCAGCAACCACAAGUAUUCCUGAUACCACAACAAUGAUAGAUGAAACAACAACUUUGGCUUCGAAAAUCACUCCUACAAUAUUUUCAACUGUAGAACCAGUAUCAAAAACAACUGAUGCAUCAACAACAACUCUGUCUGACACCACAACAACAACUGAUGCAACAAAAAUUUUGGCUUCCACAACCACACCUCUGACAUUGACAACUAUAGUACCAGCAUCAACAUCUGAUCCAGCAACCACAACUAUGCCUGACACCACAACAACAAUUGAUACAACAACAACUUUGGCUCUCACAACCACCGCUCCAACAUCCUCUAAUAUUGCACCAAUGUCAACAACUGAAGCAGCAACCACAACUGUGUCUGACACCACAAAAGCAUCUGAUGCAACAAAAACUUUAGCAACCACAACCACCCCUCCAACACCCUCAACUCUAGCACCAGUGUCAAAAACAACUGAUGCAUCAAAAAAAAGUCUGUCUGACACCACUACAACUACUGAUGCAAUAACAAUUUUGGAUUCCACAACUACCACUCUAAUGUCAACCACUGAUGCAUCAACCACAACACUGCCUGACAGCACAACAACUACUGGUGCUACAAUUUUGACUUCCACAACCACCCCUCCAACAUCUUCGACAGUAGGACCAAAGUCAACAACAACUGAUGAAUUAACUACAACCCUGCCUGACAAACCAACAUCAACUGAUGCAACAACAUCUUUGGCUACCACAACCACCUUUCCAACAUUCUCAACUGUUGAACCAUCGUCAAAAACAAUUGAUGCAGCAAAAACAACUCUGUCUGACACCACAACAACAACUGAUGCAACAACAAUUUUGGCUUCCACAACCACACCUCCGACAUCGACCACUAUAGCACUAGCAUCAACAUCUGAUGCUGCAAACACAACUAUGCCUGACACCACAAGAACAAUUGAUACAACUUCUCUGGCUACCACAACCACCUUUCCAGUAUCCUCAACGGUUAAACCAACGUCAACAACAUCUGAUGCAGCAACCACAAGUAUUGCUGAUACCACAACAAUGAUAGAUGCAACAAUAACUUUGGCUUCCACAAUCACUCCUACAACAACCUCAACUGUAGCGCCAGUAUCAACAACAACUGAUGGAUCAACAUCAAAUCUGUCUGACACCACAACAACAACUGAUGCAACAACAAUUUUGGCUUCCACAACCACACCUCUGACAUCGACCACUAUAGCACCAUCAUCAACAUCUCAUGCAGAAACCACAACUAUGCCUGACACCACAACAACAAUUGAUACAACAACAUCUUUGGCUACCACAACCACCUUUCCAACAUUCUCAACUGUUGAUCCAUCGUCAAAAACAAGUGAUGUAUCAAAAACAACUCUGUCUGACACCACCACAACAACUGAUGCAACAACAAUUUUGGCUUCCACAACCACACCUCUGACAUCGACCACUAUAGCACCAUCAUCAACAUCUCAUGCAGAAACCACAACUAUGCCUGACACCACAACAACAAUUGGUACAACAACAACUUUGGCUCUCACAACCACCGCUCCGACAUCCUCUAAUAUUGCACCAAUGUCAACAACUGAAGCGGCAACCAAAUCUCUGUCUGACACCACAAAAACAUCUGAUGCAACAACAACCACCCCUGCAAUACCCUCACCUCUAGCACCAGUGUCAAAAACAAAUUAUGCAUCAAAAACAACUCUGUCUGACACUACUAUAACUACUGAUGCAAUAACAAUUUUAGAUUCCACAACUACCACUCUAAUGUCAACCACUGAUGCAUCAACUACAACUCUGCCUGACACCACAACAACUACUCGUGCUACAAUUUUGACUUCCAAAACAAUCCCUCCGACAUCUUCGACAGUAGGACCAACGUCAACAACAACUGAUGAAUCAACCACAACUCUGCCUGACACCACAACAUCUACGGAUGCAACCACAUCUUUGGCUACCACAACCACCUUUCCAACAUUCUCAACUGUUAAACUAUCAUCAAAAACAAGUGAUGCAUCAAAAACAACUUUGUCUGACACCACAACAACAACUGAUGCAACAACAGUUUUGGCUUCCACAACCACCUUUCUAAUAUCCUCAACAGUGGCACCAACUUUAACAAAAGCUUAUGCAGCUACCACCAGUAUGCCUGACACAACAACACCUACAGUUCAAACAAUAACUUUGGCUUCCACAACCACCCCAACAUCCUUAACUAUAGCACCUGCGUCAACUCCUGAUGCAGCAACAUCUUUUCCUGACACCACAAAACCUACUCAUGCAACAACAACUUUGGCUUCCACAACCACUGCUCCAGCAUCCUCAAGUGUAUCACAAUUUUUGACAACUGUUGCAGCAACAACAACUAUGCCUGACACUACAAAACCUACUGAUGCAAAAACAAUAUUGGUUUCAACAACCACCCCUCCAACAUCCUCAACUGUAGCACAAACACUGACAACUCAUGCUACAACCACAACUAUGUCUGACAGCACAACAACUAUUGAUGCAACAACAACUAUGGCUUCCACAAACACCCCUCCAACAUUCUCAACUGCAGUACCAACGUCAACAACUGUAACACCAAUGUCAACAACUGAUGCAGCAACCAUAACUAUGCCUGACACCACAACAACUAUUGAUGCAAUAACAGUUUUGGAUUCCACAACAAUAUCAUCAACAUUCUCAGCUGCAGCAAAAAUGCUGACGUCUGAUGCAGCAACCAAAAUGAUGCAUGACAUCACCACAGCUGCUGAUGCAAUAACAUCUUUGGCUUCCACAACCAACCAUCCAACAUCCUCAACUGUAGGACCAGCAUCAGCAACCACACAUGUGGCAGACACUGCAACAACUAUUGACAUUGCAGUACCAACAUCGACAACUGUGGCACCAGUGUCAACAACUGAUGAAGCAACAACCAUUAUGCCUAACACCACAAAAACUACUGAUGCAACAACAACUUUGGCUUCCACAACAACUCCUCCAGCAUCUUCAACUGUAGCACAAAUUUUGACAACUGAUGCAGCAACAACAACCAUGCCUGACACCACAAAAACUACUGAUGCUGAAACAACUUUGGAUUCCACAACCACCCCUCCAGGGUUAACAGGUCAUGCAACAACCCCAACUAUGCCUGACAUCACAACAAAUAUUUAUGCAACAACAACUUUGGCCAUAACCACCCAUCCAACAUCCUCAACUGUGGCACCAUUGUCAACAACAAAUGUUGCAUCAACCACAAGUAUGCUUUACACCACAGCAACUACUGAUGUGACAGCAACUUUGGCUCCUACAACCACUUCUCCAGAUUCCUCAACAGUGGCAAAAACAUUGACAACUGAUGCAGCAACCAUAACUAUGUCUAACAGCACAACUAUUUAUGCAACUACUUUGGCUUCCAUAACCACCUCUGUAGCAUCCUCAACUGCAGUACCAACAUCGACAACUGAUGGAACAACAACUAUGCCUGACUUUACAACAAUUAUUGAUGCAACAACUUUAGAUAGCACAUCCACCCUUUCAACAUCUUCAACUGUGGCACCAAUGUCAACAAAAACUGAAGUGGCAACCACAAUUCUCUCUGACACCACAGAAACUACUGAUGCAAAAACAAAUUUGGCUUCCGGAACCAUUCCUCAAAUAUCAUCAACUAUAGCACCAGCAUCAUCAACUGAUGCAGCAACCACAACUAUGCCAGACACAGCAACAUCUUUGCUUAGUGAAAGCAUCCCUCCAACAUCCUCAACUGUAGCACCAUCAACUGAUGCAGCAACCACAACUGUGCCAGACACAACAUCUUUGCUUAGCGCCAGCAUCCCUCCAACAUCCUCAACUGUAGCAUCAUCAGCUGGGUUAGCAACCACACCUAUGCCUGACAACACAAUAGCACUUCCAAAAACAACUACUGGUGCAACAACAACAAUUUUGGCUACCACAAGCACUACUCCAACAUCCUCAAAUGUAGCACCAACACUGACAACUGAUUCGGCAACUAAAACUAAGCUUGAAUCCUCAACCACUAUUGGUGUAACAACAAGAACCCCUCAAAUAUCCUCAACUAUGCUCAAGCCUUACAUCACAACAAUUAUUGAAACAACAACAAAUUUGGUUUCCAAAACCACUAAUCCAACAUUCACAACCACAGCACAGGUGUUGACAAGUGACUCAGCAAUGACAACUAUUGCUGACGCAACAACAGUACUUCCAACAACAACUAGUCAUGAAACAACAACCUUGGCUAUCACUAGCACCCCUCUAGAGUCCUCAUCUAAUGUAGCAACCACAACUUUGCCUGAACAUACAACAACUACUGGUGCAAAUACAACAACAACAACAACAAAUAAUAUUGAUGCAGCAGUCACAACUAUGUCUGAAAUAACAACAGUGUUUCCAACAAAUGCUACUAUUGUUGAGACAACAACAACUUUGGUUUCCACAACAACAAACAAUCCUACAACAAUUACUGUGGCUGAAACCACAACAUAUCUUCCAAAUACAGCUACUGGCGAGACAAUAACAACUUUGGCCACAUCUCCAACAUCCUUAUCUAUAGCACAAAAGUUGACUGACACAACCAUCCCUUCAACAUCCUCAAAUAUAGCACCAAAAUCAACAACUGAUGCAGCAACCACAACUUCACCUAAAACAACAACAGUACUUUCCAAAACAACUAUUAGUGCAACAGCUUUGGCUGCCAAAAGUACCCCUCCAGUGUCCUCAUCUGUAGCACCAACAUUGACAACUGAUGCAGCAAACGCAACUAUGGCUGAAACAGAAACAGUUCUUCCAACAAAAACUUUUGGUGCAACAACAAAAUCUGUUCUAGCACCAACAAUGACAUCUGAUGCAACAAUCAGAACUUUGCCUGAAACAUCAAUGGUAUUUUCAAAAACAACUAUUGGUGCAACAACAACAACUUUGACUAUUACAAGUGCUCCUCCAGCAUCCUCAUCUUUUGCACCAACUUUGACUACUGGUGCGGCAGUCACAACUAUUCCUGAAACAAAAAAAGUCCAUCCAGCAACAACUGUUGGUGCAACAACAGCUUUGUCUACAUUAUCUGUUCUAGCACCAAUGUCAGCAUCUGAUGCUGCUUCCACAACUAUGGCUGACACCACAACAAAUAUUGAUUCAAAAACAUCAACUUUGACUCCCACAAGCACUCCUCCAACAUCCUCAACUGUAGCACAGUUCUCAAAAUCUGAUGCAACAACCACUACUAUGCUUGGAACGACAACAGUCCUUCCAGCAAAGCCUAUUAGUGCAACACCAACAACUUUGGUUAACACAAGCACCCUUGCAACAUCUUCACUUGUAGAACCAAUGUUGACAGCUGAUGCAGCAAUCACAACUAUGGCUGACACCACAACAAUUACUGGUGCAACAACAAAUUUUGCCAACACAAGCACCCCGCCAAUAUCAUCAGUUAUACCACCAACGUCAACAUCUGAUGUGGCAGCCAAAACUAUGGCUGACACCACAACAAGUAUUGGUGCAACAGCAACAACUUUGACAACCACAACUAUGGCUGACACAACAACAAAUAUUGGUGCAACAACAGCAAAUUUGGUUAACACAAGCACUCCUCCAACAUCCUCAACUGUAGCACAAUUGUUGACAACUGAUUCAGCAACCACAGCUAUUCCUGAAAUAACAGUGGUACUUCCAACAAUGAUUGGUGCAACAACAACAACUUUGGCUACCAGAAGUACCCUUUCAACAUUCUCCACUCUAGCUCCAACAUCAACAACCGAUACACCAACUACAACUAUGCCUGAAAAAACAUCAGCACUUCUAACAAAUGGUAUUAUUGUUGAGGCAACUAAAACUUUGGUUUCCACAACAACAAACAAUCCAACAUCUACUAUGGCUGAAACCACAACAACCCUUCCAGUAACUUUGGCCACACUUCCAACAUCCUUGACUAUAGAACAAUCUUUGGCUGCUACAACCAUCCCUCAAACAUCAUCAAAUAUAGCACCCAUGUUGACAACUGAUAGAGCAACUACAAAUUCACCCGAAACAGCAACAAUUCUUUCAGCAACAACAAUUGGUGCAACAACAACAACUCUGGCUGCCAAAAGUACCUCUCCAGCAUCCUCAUCUGUAGCACCAACAACUGAUGCAGCAACCACAACUAUGCCUGAAACAACAUCAGUCCUACCAACAACACCUAUUGGUGCAACAACAACUUUGACUACAAGCACCCCUCUAACAUCAUCACUUCUAGAACCAUUGUUGACAUCUGAUGAAGAAACAACAACUGUGCCUAAAACAACAGUUCUUGAAACAACAGUUUUGUUUAACAUAAGCACCCUUGCAACAUCUUCAGUUGCAGCACCAAUGUUGACAACUGAUGCAGUAACCAAAACUAUUGGCGCAACAACAACAAAUAUCGCCAACACAAGCAUCCCUCAAUCAUUCUCAUCUUCAGCACCCUUAUCGACAAUUGAAUCAACAUCCACAACUAUGUUUGAAACAACAACAGUACUUCCUGUUACAACUACUAGUGCAACAACAACUUUGGCUGGCACAAAUACACUUCCAACAGCAACUAUAGGUGAGACAACUAUAAUCUUGGGUCUCAAAACCACAGUAGCUCCUCCAACAUUCUCAACUAUCACACAAAACACCACAACUCAUCCAGAAACUACAACUAUGCCUGCAAUUAAUACAAGUAUUGGUGAAAAAACUACAACUUUGACCCCCACAAGCAUCACAACCCCUCCAACUUUGCUGGAGGAGUCAGUGACAACAACAUCCAAGAAUAUUCAUCCAGCAAGCACAACAAUGUCUGAGAUGAAAAUUACUACCUUCAGUGCAUUAAAAACAGGUAUAACUGAUUCAACAACCACACCUAAUUCUAAAAUCACAACAACUAGUAGUGAAACAAUUACAACCAGAAUGUCCUCCUCAACAUUGUUGGAAGAGCCAACAACAGCACAAUCACAAGCUAUAUCUAAUUUAAAUACAACAACAGUUCCAGUGUUUACAACAACAGCUUUGACUAAUUCUCAGACAGAAAAUAAUCCUACAGUGCACUUCCUAACAUCUACAGCAGUCCUUGGCAAAACAAGCUUACCUCUAAUGAACAGAACUGGUUCAGCACUGGUUACAAGCAAACUGCAGUUUAACUCCUCAUCUCCAGUCCCCAGAGAAACUCAGGUCCUCAGUGUUAUCAAGACUCUUCUCAAAUCCAGAGAGUCACAGCUCAACAAAUCAGUUCAAGUGCUGAAUGUCACCUAUAAAAAUAUCUCAGAGACCUCUUAUGCAAUCAUCUUUACAUUUAACCUGAUUGACAUUAGUAUACCAAAGGACCCUGCAGUAAAGAACAACACCUAUCAGCACCUGCAGAAUGUUAUCAAUAAUAUGUUGAACACACUUCUGAAUGAACCUGGCAGUCAGGUUUUUGAAGCCAAGUCCUCCAAAUUCACGAGCACAGAAAACCACAUUGAGGGCAGUAUGGAAUAUAUCUUCGACAGCAAAGAUCAACCCACCAUUUUGUUGAAGGAGCUUAAUUUACAGAACAGCAUAAUAACAACAACCCUUGCAACACCAGGCACAUCUAAAACCACUAAAGGAACUACAGCUUUGAUUGGGAGGGUGAUUUUUUACAUUCGGCUCAUUUUUAUCACACGGGGCCCCAUACCAAGUGAGAGUCAUGUUCAAAAUUUGGUCAACGUACUGCUGGCCCCACAUCUCAGAGCUAAACAAGACACAGCACAAGCCCUGAAUGAUCCUGUGAGCUAUGUGAAUGCCAGCUAUGAGAAAAUUGCUGAUAAUUCAUAUGCCCUCAAACUUGGCUUUGAGAUCAACAAUCCAUCCAUGGCAGAGAAACUUGAACUCAGGGAUGGCAACUACACAUUCAUUCAAAACUCCAUAAAAAGAAAGCUAAACCAAAUCCUAAGUGACUCUGACACUUCUGUUGAGUUCAACAAAGCCAAUUUCACGAAAAAUUCCAUGGAGGUCAUUGCUGAUAUUGAUUAUAUUUUCCGGCAACAAGACAUCAAGUCACCCAGUGACUUCCUCCAAGAACUUCUCAAAGUUAUGAAUAGCUUAACAACUCCAGCUCCAACAGGGAAUAAAACAACUCAGAAACCUGUACAAACACCAAAUGUGAUUGGGAAGGUGAUUAUUUACAUUCGGCUCAUAUUUAUCACACGGGGCCCUGUACCAAGUGAUGCAAAAAUAUUACAAUUGGCAAACUCUCUGCUGGCCGCACGUUUCAGAAUUAAACGAGAACUAAGGGCACAAAGCUUAGGUACCCCUGUGAGCUUUGUGAAUGUUACUUACACAAAACUUUCUGAUACGUCAUAUUCCCUGAAUUUUGGAUUUGAAAUCAACAAUGUUACCAUGUCUCAGAAACUUGAACUCAGGGAUACAACAUAUAAAUUAAUCCAGGACUCUAUAAAUAAAUUGUUGAACGAGAUCCUAACUGAGCCCACAGCCACUCCAUUUGAGUUCAAAGAUACCAAUUUCACGGGUAAUUCCACCACUAUUCAGGCUGAUGUACAGUAUGUUUUCUCAGAAAACGACAUCCAGAAACCCAGUGCCUUUCUCUAUGCACUUAUUGUGGUUAAUAAUGAGACUAUUACCACUACAACUACACCUGCUGCAACAAGAACCACCUUUUACUCCACAGUGCUGAGCAAUACAAUCACAAAUAACAGCACUAGUGCAGCAUGGGUUGUGGCCAUUAUUGUACCCUGUGCUAUUGUCAUCAUCCUCGUACCUUGCUGGAUUCUCCUUUGUUGUUUACUGUGUGGUUGCUGUACAGCAUUAAGAAGACGGUGGUCCAGAAGACGGUCAUACAAUGUACAAUACACCACUCAUAACAGCCUUUUCUAGAGAGCUCGAGACACAUCAGGAACAUUUUCUAACACUAAUGACUAAUUACUUAUAUUACUAAAUCAAACUGUGAUUGUGGUACUUUAAAGUUUACAUUUAACUUUCCAUAAUGAUUAUGAUAUCUUACAGCUUUUAUAAUGCACUAUUUAUUUUAUUGUGCCUGUAUUGCUGGACAGACAGGAUCUUAAAUUGUGAUUAAUGUAAUUUAUUUUCAGAAUUGUUUAAUGGAUAAAAAAAUGGUAUUUACGAUUUCUGUAAGGUUUAAAAUAUUUGCAUGUUAUAAUAUUUUGUGAUUUCCAAAUAAUUAAUUUAUUUGAUAUUACACAUUUCAUUUUAAGGGGCAAUGUUGGUAAUGUUAAACUUAUUUACACUUUAUGCACUUUAGUUCCAUGUAACUCAAAGGAAAAUCCUUGUGUGCUUUACACACAGAUGUAGAUGUAAAACAGCAGCAACAUCAAUCAACAGUCAUUUUAUCUGCAUAAUUUUAGAUCUCGUUCUUAAUGAUCACUUCUGUUCUGACAAGAUUGUCCUGCAGCUGCUGACAGGAUUUUUUUCUUUUCUUUUUAGUAAGGCAUCACACAAACAGCUUUCUUCACCUUUUAAAUCAAAACAACAUUAAUAAAUUUAAGAACAACUGUAUAUGUAACCA